CAGCAGCCGCGGUAAUACGUAGGGUGCGAGCGUUAAUCGGAAUUACUGGGCGUAAAGCGUGCGCAGGCGGUUUUGUAAGACAGGCGUGAAAUCCCCGGGCUCAACCUGGGAAUGGCGCUUGUGACUGCAAAGCUAGAGUGCGGCAGAGGGGGAUGGAAUUCCGCGUGUAGCAGUGAAAUGCGUAGAUAUGCGGAGGAACACCGAUGGCGAAGGCAAUCCCCUGGGCCUGCACUGACGCUCAUGCACGAAAGCGUGGGGAGCAAACAGGAUUAGAUACCCCUGUAGUCCCUGUCUCUUAUAC
rnacentral:rRNA from 1 species